rnacentral:lncRNA from 1 species
ACAUAUCCCUUAUCUCAGAUUAUUGGCCUAUGACACGUACAGAAGGCAAAAACAGUGACAAUUAAUCAAUAGUAAUACUAAUACUGCAGUCUAAAGUUCUGGACGAAUGCAUGGAAACAUCUACUGCACUGUGAAGUUUUAAAUUAAAUGCAUUAAAAAUCUGGAAAAGAACAGUGACUUUAAUCAAUAGCACUCCAAAAGAGCUACAUGGAAAUACCAAUUGCAACUUGAAGGUUCUCAACGAAAUGCAUUUCCAUUUUUAACCAUCUUGCAGCAUCCUUGUGUAUACAAAUUCAUGCAUGCAAAGAGGAACUGAAUGUGAGCAUACCAACAAUGGAUGCAACAUUUGACCUCACACGCUAACCCCAAGAUAUACAGUUGCGGAAUUUUACUCUGGUCCUAUUUUCCCUACUAUACAAUCAGAUUAAAUGGAAGGAACAAAUUAAUACAUGUAAAGCAUACAUCUCUCCCUCAAAAAAGAAAAACAUACAUCUCUGAAUGUCAUACCAGGUGUUACAAUCUUCAGCCAUCAGAUCAUGCAGGAAUGGCCUCAUACAAAUUGGAUGCCAUUGGGAUCAGAGGGAGGAACCAACAGGCCCAGGGGGAAAUCAAAUUUCUUUGAGAACUGAAAUCAAAAUUUCUUUGAGCACUCUAACUUGUAUGAGAGGAACAUAUAUGAAGGGAGCAAAGAAAUAAAAUACUGCUAGGUUAUUUUGAGAGAGAUAAUCAGGGAUUAAGAUAAUGCAGUAGCUACCUGCUCACGGUUAGGUUCCUCGGCGCUAUUGAAGGAAAGAUAUUAUGGUAACCCUGUAUCACUUAUCAGACCAGUACGUCUUCAUAAUCAAACAAUAUCACCACAAUGUCUAAACCAUGGCCCCAACCACGUCUGAUUAUCCUCUAUGUAAUCAAAGGUUUCUGCAUGCUGUAAGAUUCAUCAGAUCGACGAUCUAAUAGGAAGAUACAAAUUUUCAACAGCUAGAAUAAUCAAGAGAGAACCAGCGCUAACGACACAGGCAAAUAUUGCAACGGUGGAGAAGAGGGGGCUUCUGAAUCAUUCCUGUCGGCCGACGGGGUUGGUGAGCGCGGCGAAGAUGGUAGAAAACGGCGCCGACGUCCCCGCGAGCCCCACCAUAUGCUGCGUGUCCCACCGGUUCCCUGUACCUACCCGUGCACAAACGCCGUGAUAGAGAGCUCAGAUCCAGCCGGCGGCGGAUGCGGAGGCAGGACGGGUGAAACGGGAGAAGAGGCGUACCAUGUGGUGAAGACCUUGAUGGCGAACGCGAGAACGGCGGCGAGUUGCCAAACACGGCUGAGAAGAGGGCGAAACCGCAGGGGUGGCUGCGCGACGAAGGCAGCUUCUACCACCGACAGCCGGUUGGUUCUAGAAGCUUCCAGCCUCCGCCUCCUCUUCGAAGCCUGUACCAGCAGGUGAAGGGCUAAACCUGGAUAUGUGGUCAAUCCUCUCCGGCAGUAUGCGCAUUGUGGGGAGAACAUCUCCGUAUCCCUAUUUAUUUGGUGGAGAAGAAGAAAAGACAUCAGUUUAGAAGAUAGAGAGACUGAUGGAAAUCAAUCGGAGGGGAGUUAAUUAGGGAGAUAAUAAAUGUGCAUGCCAGCUAUUGGGCUGGGAUUCCCUGGGAAGCUAGCGUGCAAAACGCUGCGAGCACCAGCAGGAGACAGGAGACGUGCAGAUUGUUAAGAAUAAAGCGACGUCAUUAGCACUAAGAGUGGUACGUGUGUCCAAAGCGCCGUACGGACGCAAACGUCCGUACGGAUGUCUUCUCGCGCCACAGACGCUUAUUGUAAACGGACGCCUCUCCGGAGGCGUCCCAAAUCCUUGUAUAAAUAGGGCUUUGCCCAGAAUCAAUAAACACAAGUUUUCUUACAAAUUCUUACACGUUAUCAGCACUGCUCUCCGGCGAGAGCGAUUCCGACGAGAAACACAGAGCACGAACAGGACGAGAGAGAAGGUAAGAUGGCAGGGAUGAACCUGCACAACAUCGCCUCUGCACUUGUUUGUUUCAUCCGACGAGAAAUCCAUCGAUCUGAGAGACGACAAAGAGCUGGAGUUUAUCACCCUUGGGGCCCAGGCAACGGCCGCCGUGGUCGUCGUGGCCACCGUGGUUGUGGUCGUGGUCAGGAUUACCCUGGCCCUGCCGCGGCAGAUCAGGCAGGACCAGGCAACCCGCCCGUGGCCGUCCACCGUGCCUACCAGGCACCUCUGAUGCCGGCCUUCGUCACUCCACCAAUGGACUAUGCUCCCGCCGAGGCUGCAGCCCCGUUCCUGGGCGAGGAGGAGUUCUUCGACGCGGCUCAGGCCCCGCCACCGCCAGGGAUCUUCUUCGGCAACGGCAUGGAUGCAGGCGUGGCCUUCUGUCCGGUGCACAGAUACGGACCUUGCCCUGCCCGCGAUUUCUGCCCCGUGCACGGGUACGGGCCGUGCCCUCCACCGCCGGCCACUCCACCACCGAAACCGGAGGUCAUCGACGAGCCACUCGCCUACCCGGACCUCCCAACGCCGACGCCCGCCGACGAAGACGAGGAGCACUUCGCCCCUCCAGGCUAUGGCCCUGUGCCCGCCAUGAUGGAGUGGGAGGUGACGCCGAACGAAGAGGAGGAGCAGUGGCUCAACUCCGUUGUGAAGCAGGAGCCAACCACGCCGGCGGAGACCGACGAACCCGGCGCCACCAUCCCCGACCUCAACACUACCACCGGCGUGAAGAUCGAGGACGCGGCGUCGUCUUCCAUGACCCAAGCAUCUCCACCGUCUCCACCCCCGGCAAGCCCGCGAACGCCUCCACCGGCGGCUCGCCGGAUCCUUCGCCGUUUCGCGGCGGCGCUGGAGCAGCACCGUCCCGGCCUCCGCUCCGGCUCCUGGGCCCCUGCAGGCCUCCACCUCCCCGGCUAUGCUGCGGGGGGGCCGUCCUCCUCCUGAAGAUCGCCGGCGCUGGGCGCCAUCGGCGACGGCCGGCGGGAUCCCGUGGGGAUGGCGGUUGGAAUGGGGGGAAUUGACCCCAACCGCCCCACCUCCCAGUUCCCCUUAUCCGCUCCUUCGGCGGCGCUGCCAUGGGCCUGGGCCGAAAGGCCUCGUGGGCUGUGGCCCACGUUGCAAAAACCAGCAAGAAAAAAAAACAAACAACGGGUGAUAGGCUAGAUUGCAGAAAAAUCCUCAUAUUAUCGGAAUUUCGUGCAUUAGUCCAACUACUAGUACUAAUUUAGUGCUUGUCAUGUUUUAGCCCCAUAAAUUUGGGAAUUCGCAGAUAGGUUCAACUAUUAGUGCUGUAAUUAAGUACUUGUCAUGUUUUAGACCUUGUAUCUCGGUGUGAUUAUAUAUUGUACUCAAUUAAAUUGUGUAUUGAUGUUUAUACCAUAUUAUGUCUAUAAAUCAUUAUAUGUUCAAUGUGUUUGCAAUUCGCAAUCCCUAUAACAUGUACAAAUGUUACAAUAAUAUUAUUUUGCAACUGAAAAUCAUUUAUUUUUGCAACUCAAAUAUUAAUUCGCCAUCAAUUAAGUCCAAAAAAUGCCUAUGUAGCACGAAGUAGACUUAAUUCGAAUAGAAUUAAUAUGCAAAAAAAAAGUUCAAGUCUUUACUUGAAUUUAUAACAAUUGCAAAAAUUAUUACAACAUGACCAUGAUGAUUUUAAUUUACAUACAAGUAAAAUGAUCAAAUAUUUGGUUCUCAAUCUUGUAGGACAAAAUGACCGUCAAAGAAUUUGAAGAGCUUGCACUCGACGGACACAACUAUCCUACAUGGGAUGGAUGUUAAAAUCAGUCUUUCAUCUCGUGGAAUUGCAGCUGCACUCAUACCUCCUGCAGACCCUCCCCAAGAGGGAAUUGCACAAUUAACCGAGCAGCAACAAUAUGCUGCUUUAUAUAUAAUAAGGCACCAUAUCCAUCCAGAUCUAAAAUCUGAAUAUUUGAUGGAGGAAUCUCCAAGCAAUAUGUGGCAAUCACUUAAGACUAGAUAUGAACAGCAAAAGGCAAUUAUACUUCCUGAAGCUAGUCAUGAGUGGACCCAUUUAAGACUCCAAGAUUUCAAAUCGAUCGGAGCUUAUAAUCAUGAGGUUCAUAAAAUUUGUUCAAAGUUGCGGUUUUGCGAGAAGGAGCCUACAGAAGCAGAUAAGAUAGAAAAGACUCUAUCCACUAUGCUCNNNNNNNNNNNNNNNNNNNNNNNNNNNNNNNNNNNNNNNNNNNNNNNNNNNNNNNNNNNNNNNNNNNNNNNNNNNNNNNNNNNNNNNNNNNNNNNNNNNNACGGUGAGAGUGAAACCUGCCCACACGCCUAUGACACAUAGACUGCGCCACGUCACCGCAUACAUGCAGGUGGAAAUCUUUUUAGAUUUUCAAUUUUUAAAAUGUUUUAUCUUUUAAAUGAAAAAUCCGAUUAAGGAUCCGUUUUCACCAUUAAAUCCCUCGCGACGAGAUCUUCGAAACUAGAUCUCAUAUCAAUAUAUUUCGACGAACUUUUUCUGGUUAAAAAUUGCCCUGUCUAUUACAGAUGAAUUGCCAUGGUGUUUAUGCUAAAGUUGCCAUGAUAUGUUUCAGUUAUUUUUUUCUGCAUUUAAAAAUAAAUUUUGACAUUUAUAAAACAUGGAAUUAAAAAAUUAGACUUGCCAUGAACCAUAAACUAAAAUUGCCAUAAUACAUGCACUUAAAAUUGCCAUGGUUCAUACAAAAAAUAAUUUUUAUGAUCAAAGUACUAGAAUUGCCAUCAUCAAAAUACUAAAAUUGCCAUGCUCUACAAACUAAAAUUGCCACAUGACAACUUUAGUUUAAGCACUAUGGCAGCUACAUUGUAAACAUCAUGGCAACUUUUGGGCAAAAAAAAUUUCGUCGAAACAUAUCAACAUGGGGUCUAGUUUUGAGAUCUCGUCGAGACGGAUUUAAUGGUGAAAAUGGAUUUUUAAUUGGAUUUUUUAAUUAGGAGAUAAAACAUUUUUAAGCCAAAACCAAAAAGAUUCCUGCUAACGUCAUCUGUUCACAUGUGGCAAAAUGAGUGAUAAAGAAGGCGUGUGGGCGAUGUACAAGAUACCACACGUGUAGAGGUUAGUUUUUUCCUACAUAUAUAUAAUAGGCUUCACUUGGCAAUACUAGAUACUCCGCACAUAUAUAUAACUAGAUGAUGCCCCGCGCGUUGCCACGGGACUGUAUCGUACAAAUAAUGCUUUCAAUCAUUAAUGAACUUCGUCACAAAGGUGUUAAGGGAGAAGGUUGGUGGAAGCUAUGUUAUAAGUUGUUGACGUGUUUAUGCAUUUGAACAAAAUAAUUCUCACAACGUAAGACAAAAUCUUGAGUUUGUACUGAUGUAAAAGGAUUAACCAUCCAAAUAUUGUCAAUAUGUUUCCGAAAAAUGGUAUUACAAAACUAUUAUCCAUGAUUGUAUUACUGUUGUACAAAUCUUGAACCAAUAAUUUGAAAGCAUGAGACAAAAUUCCUAAAGCGGCACUCGCUUGAUGUUAGUACUAUCUGACAUGCACAUAUCCCUUAUCUCAGAUUAUUGGCCUAUGACACGUACAGAAGGCAAAAACAGUGACAAUUAAUCAAUAGUAAUACUAAUACUGCAGUCUAAAGUUCUGGACGAAUGCAUGGAAACAUCUACUGCACUGUGAAGUUUUAAAUUAAAUGCAUUAAAAAUCUGGAAAAGAACAGUGACUUUAAUCAAUAGCACUCCAAAAGAGCUACAUGGAAAUACCAAUUGCAACUUGAAGGUUCUCAACGAAAUGCAUUUCCAUUUUUAACCAUCUUGCAGCAUCCUUGUGUAUACAAAUUCAUGCAUGCAAAGAGGAACUGAAUGUGAGCAUACCAACAAUGGAUGCAACAUUUGACCUCACACGCUAACCCCAAGAUAUACAGUUGCGGAAUUUUACUCUGGUCCUAUUUUCCCUACUAUACAAUCAGAUUAAAUGGAAGGAACAAAUUAAUACAUGUAAAGCAUACAUCUCUCCCUCAAAAAAGAAAAACAUACAUCUCUGAAUGUCAUACCAGGUGUUACAAUCUUCAGCCAUCAGAUCAUGCAGGAAUGGCCUCAUACAAAUUGGAUGCCAUUGGGAUCAGAGGGAGGAACCAACAGGCCCAGGGGGAAAUCAAAUUUCUUUGAGAACUGAAAUCAAAAUUUCUUUGAGCACUCUAACUUGUAUGAGAGGAACAUAUAUGAAGGGAGCAAAGAAAUAAAAUACUGCUAGGUUAUUUUGAGAGAGAUAAUCAGGGAUUAAGAUAAUGCAGUAGCUACCUGCUCACGGUUAGGUUCCUCGGCGCUAUUGAAGGAAAGAUAUUAUGGUAACCCUGUAUCACUUAUCAGACCAGUACGUCUUCAUAAUCAAACAAUAUCACCACAAUGUCUAAACCAUGGCCCCAACCACGUCUGAUUAUCCUCUAUGUAAUCAAAGGUUUCUGCAUGCUGUAAGAUUCAUCAGAUCGACGAUCUAAUAGGAAGAUACAAAUUUUCAACAGCUAGAAUAAUCAAGAGAGAACCAGCGCUAACGACACAGGCAAAUAUUGCAACGGUGGAGAAGAGGGGGCUUCUGAAUCAUUCCUGUCGGC